GAUGAACGCUGGCGGCGUGCCUAAUACAUGCAAGUCGAGCGAACAGACGAGGAGCUUGCUCCUCUGACGUUAGCGGCGGACGGGUGAGUAACACGUGGAUAACCUACCUAUAAGACUGGGAUAACUUCGGGAAACCGGAGCUAAUACCGGAUAAUAUAUUGAACCGCAUGGUUCAAUAGUGAAAGACGGUUUUGCUGUCUCUUAUAGAUGGAUCCCCGCCGCAUUAGCUAGUUGGGAAGUUACAGGCUUAUCAAGGCAACGAGGCGUAAACGACCGGAGAGAGGGGUAGGCCACACGGGAACGGAGACAGGGUCAAGGGGACUACGGGAGGGCGCAGUAGGGAAUCUGCAGCAAAGGGCGAAAGCCUGACGGAGCAACGCCGCGUGAGAGAUGAAGGUCUUCGGAUCGUAAAACUCGGUUAUGAGGGAAGAACAAAUGUCGAAGUAACUAUGCACGUCGUGACGGUACCUAAUAAGAAAGCAACGGCUAACUACGUG
rnacentral:rRNA from 1 species